rnacentral:rRNA from 1 species
CCUACGGGGGGCAGCAGUGGGGAAUCUUGCACAAUGGAGGAAACUCUGAUGCAGCGACGCCGCGUGAGUGAUGAAGGCUUUCGGGUUGUAAAGCUCUGUUCUCAGGGAAAAACAAAAUGAUUGUACCUGAGGAGAAAGGACCGGCUAACUUCGUGCCAGCAGCCGCGGUAAGACGGGGGGUCCAAGCGUUGUUCGGAAUCAUUGGGCGUAAAGCGGGCGUAGGCGGCUAUGUAAGUCAGGAGUGAAAGCCCUGGGCUCAACCCAGGAAGUGCUUUUGAAACUGCAUAGCUUGAGUGUGGGAGAGGAUAGUGGAAUUCCAGGUGUAGUGGUGAAAUACGUAGAUAUCUGGAGGAACACCGGUGGCGAAGGCGGCUAUCUGGCCCAACACUGACGCUGAGGCCCGAAAGCGUGGGGAUCAAACAGGAUUAGAUACCCCUGUAGUC